rnacentral:lncRNA from 1 species
CCUUCCUGUCCGAGGGCUGAUCCCGCGUUAGUCCCACCCACUCCUUGUCCUGCGUGGUUACCCAGUUUUCUCAGCUGAGGUUCUGUUCUUGGUACCUCGCGGUGGGCUGGAGUUAACCUCGUGGGUCCUCCGACGCAUUGCCAGCUCACCAGCUCUGCCCAGGCCUACCACGCUGGACAUCCUUUCAGUCCUGAGUCGAUGGCGUCCUGCACGUCGGUCGUCCGAGGGCCCGCCCAAGCACGGGCGGGGGCCUAGGGGGCCUCUGGUGGCAAGUGCUUGGGCUGCGACGCCCGGCAGAUAGCAUCGCCCUCUGUUUUGGAGGGAAUGUAGCCACACUGAUAAACUCUAGGCCCUUGGAAAAAGGGAGUAAAAACAGCGACAGUUGGUACUUAUGGGACAUUCGGAGGAAAUGUGGCCUUGAAGCCGAAUGAUCUACUCUGCAUUAAAGGAAGAUUUCCAGCUCUUCUGUGCCCUGACAUCCCCUGCUGCUCUGAAGGAUGAUGAAGGAUCCUCCCUGAGGAUCAGGACCCUGAGGCUAAGGGGAGUGGCUCCUGAGAACCUGGACUCAGAGGAAGGGAACUUGUCACCCCUAUGGAGAGUCACCCCGCUGAGCCCGAAAUUCUACCAAAGAACAUUGAGGUGCCGUCAGAUACUGUUGUGGCUGUUCCUGGCUGAAGGAGAGAGAAGCCCUAGGUAUCUAUUUUGGUGUGGGAACUACCAUGAAACUGCCAGAGAAGAAGAGAAGAGUCAAGCUGUCCUUCUUAGACCUAAAAGAAAAGAAAGAGACCCAAGUUUCUGCUUGUGUAUGGGUAUCUCAUCUGGAAGGGAUUUGUAUUUGUGGGAAAGAGAUGGAAAGACAUCAUAUACAUAAAGAGAUUUCCUCUCUACUUCAAAAGAACCCAGAACUCCUUGGCCAUGGGGAAGCCCAAUGUCUCCUGCAACGAAGAGGAGGUAAGGAACCAAGCUGAAUUGCUUGUACUCCUGAGAGGCAACAUGAUAUCAUGGUUUAAGCAC